UAUUAAAUCUCGAAUAUAGUCUUUUAGAGUGAUGAGGAAAGGAAUGUUAAUUUAGGAGGAAGUAUUCAAAUAAAUUUAUGAAUUAAGUAUAAUUUAUUUAAAAUAACAUUGGGUAUAAAUGAAUAAAUAUUCGACGUGGAACUAGAUUAUAUGAGUUAUUAUACUAGAGUUAUUAUAAAAGAGGAUUUAAUAGAAUAUUACUGCCAUAUGUUCGACUAAAUGAUUUUAUUCAUUUUAUUACGCACAACAUAGCAAAUAUUUUGUCCAAGGAGAUUGAUCUGAUUUUGUGGCGGUUUAAAGAAUUUAAAUUUCUUGUAUUGAAGAUUAUAAGAUCAUAAAUAUUUAAUUUAGAUUCACAUGAU
rnacentral:rRNA from 1 species